CCUUCUUUGUGAUGGGGCAUAAUGGAGGCGGCUCUGGUUACAGGCACUGAGGCUGGGAGAGCCAGGCGGUCAGAAUGCAGCGCCCCCGCCCCGGCACCAAUCACAGAAGAGGCUUUCUUUGUGCUCGGUGUGGGGUGGGGGCCCAGGGUCAGCACCCAGGUUUAGAACUGUGGAUCAUUUUCAGCUUCAGUGCUUAGCAAGGACAGAAGUUUUCUCCAGAUGGCUUUUCUGGAAAAAGUUCAUCUGUCUGUGUGUGAGCAGUGGUGAUGAACUGAAACUUCAGCAGUGACAUGACACCCUGUGUUCUCAGGUGCCAGAUGUGGAAAGUGAGGCUCCUGGAUCCUCUAGGAUAGAAGAACCAAGAGUGGUAGUCCCAAUUCCUACAGUUGUUUUGGAAGUAGCUAUUAUGUCAAUGGCACCCCACUCCAGUACUUUUGCCUGGAAAAUCCCAUGGAUGGAGGAGCCUGGAAUGCUGCAGUCCAUGGGGUCGCUGAGGACAUG